UAUGAAGAUAUUUCAUUGCAAAAUCGGAUCAGACUAAGGACAGCAAUUGAUAUUUCAACUGACAAGAUUAUAGAAUAUUGAGGUAAGUCGGGUUUUAAAGCAUUUACGAACUGUAUAUCUGGUGUGCUUUAGCUAUAUUCACAGAUUGAAAGACAAAGAACAUGGUAGACAAUUGCAGCAAGACAGCUACAUAUACCAGGAGUGAGUUAAGGUAGAUUGAGUAACAUAUCAUGUUUUGCACAUAUUGUUAUCGUUUGUUAUUCGCAUACUGUAAAGUAAUGAAAAUGUGGAAUGUGUUUAUUAGGCCUAUAAAUCGAUAUGUUAACUGAUGAAUAUUAAGGUAAAAUCAUUUAAUACCUGCUUUUCUAUGUACUUUAGAUAUAGGCCUAUUCACAUCUUGAAGAACUUAAAACCAGAAAAAGAUGGUACACAAUUUUGAUAUUUCAACUGACAAGAUAGAAUAUUAAGAUAAAUGUGCGGAAUGCCAUGGAUGUUUGUCAAUUGAAGAUAUAGCUGAAAAAGCAACUUUAGUAUUGUAUGACGAUAUGACAUUGCGGCGUCGGAUCAGCAGACAAGGAACAGCAUACAUUUGACAUUUCAACUGACAAGAUUAUUGAAUAUUGGGGUAAGUCGGGUUUAAAAGCAUUUACGAACUGUAUAUCUGGUGUGCUUUAGCUAUAUUUACAGACCGGAAGACUUCCAAACCAGAAAAAGAACAUUGUAGACAAUUGCAGCCAGACAGCUACAAGUACAAGGAGUGAGUUAAGAUAUAUAUUCACAUUUUGAAAGAACUCAAAACCAGACAAAGGAGAUGGCACACAAGUAUUUAAACUGACAAGAUGAUACAAUAUUCAGAAAUGUGCAGAAUGUCCUGGAUGUCGGUCAGUCGAGGAUAUAGCUGCAAAAACAAAC